CAAAUUAUAGUUUAUUAAAACAUUUUAGUUACAUUAAAAAGUAAAUUUUAAAGUUAUUUAAUUUGA
rnacentral:tRNA from 1 species